rnacentral:rRNA from 1 species
GAUGAACGCUGGCGGCGUGCCUAAUACAUGCCAGUCGAGCGAACAGAUGAGGAGCUUGCUCCUCUGACGUUAGCGGCGGACGGGUGAGUAACACGUGGAUAACCUACCUAUAAGACUGGGAUAACUUCGGGAAACCGGAGCUAAUACCGGAUAAUAUAUUGAACCGCAUGGUUCAAUAGUGAAAGACGGUUUUGCUGUCACUUAUAGAUGGAUCCGCGCCGCAUUAGCUAGUUGGUAAGGUAACGGCUUCCCAAGGCAACGAUGCGUAGCCGACCUGAGAGGGUGAUCGGCCACACUGGAAAUGAGACACGGUCCAGACUGCUACGGGAGGCAGAAGUAGGGAAUCUUCCGCAAUGGGCGAAAGUUUGACGGAGCAACGCCGCGUGAGUGAUGAAGGUCUUCGGAUCGUAAAACUUUGUUAUUAGGGAAGAACAAAUGUGUAAGUAACUAUGCACGUAUUGACGGUACCUAAUAAGAAAGCCACGGCUAACUUCGUG